GGGGCUGUAGUUCAGUUGGGAGAACGUUUGACUGGCAGUCAAAAGGUCAGGGGUUCGAGUCCCCUCAGCUCCACCA
rnacentral:tRNA from 1 species